UGCAUAACUGACAAAUGAAUUUCUUUUUGUUUUUCUCGACCUUCACUUACGUAAAUAAAAUAUCGAAAUUCAUAAAUAAUGCCUUUAUUUUUUCAUGUCGGCCGACCACGAUUUUACCAAAAUUUUGUAUAUUCGCAAUUAUUUAACUAAAUAUAGACAAUACAAUUUAUGGAGUUCCACGAUUUGGACAAUCUUUCGAUUACGGAUACAGAUCACACCAGCAUGACAAUAGUCCGAGGCUGGAGGCCACGUCAUCUGAUGAUGUGCAGGAUCAAUGUUUUUCCGACACCAAGUUAUCCCACCAACACCAGCGUACCGUUUAUGCUGCUUAAAAACGAUACCACAGUUUCGGUAUCAUCGACAAUGCAGUCUUUAUUAUCUAUUUCAGUUGCAGCAUAAUUAUACACCCGAAUCGCUUUGAUUGUAACAGUUGCGUGAGCCCGUACGGUGACUGCCUGUUUCCAGAUUCCCGGAUGCAAAGUUAUCUGUAAACAAACAGGAACAUCCCUGUUUCGUCAUGAACCCCAUUCAAUCCGGUCCAUAAAGUAUCACUCAAGGGAAUUCUUAUUCUGAUGGACUCGACGGAUAGCAAGGGAACAAAACAUUCCUGCGAUCAAGAUCGGAAUCGUCUACAAACUCAAUCCACAAUGAACGACAAAGGACAAUCUUCAACGGAGAUACUAAAUCCGACAAUAGCUGGAACUUGGAAAGGAAUUCGGACCGAAAUAAAUUAAUAUGUCGAACUUCUCGCACCCCAUCAACUGCUUCAAAAAGAUCGGACUGGUAAUAUUAAUUGGAAUUGCUGCUUUAGAUUCGCUGAACAUAGUUACUAUUCGUAAGUCAUUACGCCCUCCUUAGCCGUGCGGUAAGACGCGCGGCUACAAAGCAAGACCAUGCUGAGGGUGGCUGGGUCCGAUUCCCGGUGCCGGUCUAGGAAAUUUUCGGAUUGGAAAUUGUCUCGACUUCCCUGGGCAUAAAAGUAUCAUCGUGUUAGCCUCAUGAUAUACGAAUGCAAAAAUGGUAACCUGGCUUAGAAACCUCGCAGUUAAUAACUGUGGAAGUGCUUAAUGAACACUAAGCUGCGAGGCGGCUCUGUCCCAGUGUGGGGAUGUAAUGCCAAUUAGAAGAAGAAGAAGAAGAAGUCAUUACGCUCGCCAUUACGUUACCUCUGUCAUCUGAUGAUACCGAUUCAACUAUAACAACAACCGCGGUACAAUCCCUCCUGCUUCAAACUGCAGGCAGCAUUUCUGAAGGAAGUCUCACAGGAAAAGCCGGCGCAAAAUAUCAUGCGAUGAAUGCCAAAUUCAAGCGCGUAGCUACUUACUACUCAUCAGGGAACGUAUGAGAAGAGUAAUGCUGAAAAGAGAUCUCACGUCAUCCAAUCUUCGAGGAACAAGCAAAGCCUGCCUUACUGGACUACCGUUCAAGGCUAAAAUACACGGUAUAUAUUGGAUCACAUCCGUAAAAUCAGUACCAGAUGAUAUGUGAUGCGGCUCUAAACAAAAAUAGUCAACAUGUGCUACCACCACGACAGGAUGUCUUUGGUUGCCAUCUCAGUGCUAAUGGCGUAAGGAAGCCGAUCCACCACGACAACAUAUCCGAGGGGAGAAAGUGUAGGAAUCUUUUUGAUGUAAGAACUUUACUUUGGGUGUCGGUCGAUACUGCAUAAUUUUAAAUAGCUUGCUUAUAAUAAAAUAUAUAAAAUUAUAGAUUUCGUGAAUAAUGCUACACCGGAGUUCGUGCAACGUAACACUGUGGCAGACAUUCGCCCUGAGAAAUGUACAAAUGGAUAUUAAAAUAAAAUACCUACCUAUA